GGACUGUGUACAAGUCUCCUGGGAUGGAGCAUCAUGGAGGGUGAGAAUCCCGUAUAUGACACAGACUACCAGUGCAUUGUGGUAUGCUCUCAACGAGUCGAGUUGUUUGGGAAUGCAGCUCAAAAUGGGUGGUAAAUUCCAUCUAAAGCUAAAUAUUGGCGAGAGACCGAUAGCGAACAAGUACCGUGAGGGAAAGAUGAAAAGAACUUUGGAAAGAGAGUUAAACAGUACGUGAAAUUGCUGAAAGGGAAACGCUUGAAGUCAGUCGCGUCUGCUGGGAAUCAGCCUCGCUCCUGCGUGGUGUACUUUCUGGUUUGACGGGUCAGCAUCAAUUUUGAUCACUGGAAAAAGGUGUGGGGAAUGUGGCAGCUCCGGCUGUGUUAUAGCCCCAUGUCACAUACAGUGGUUGGGAUUGAGGAACGCAGCACGCCGCAAGGCCGGGUCUUUUGGACCACGUUCGUGCUUAGGAUGCUGGCAUAAUGGCUUUAAGCGACCCGUCUUGAAACACGGACCAAGGAGUCUAACAUGCCUGCGAGUGUUUGGGUGGAAAACUCGAGCGCGCAAUGAAAGUGAAAGUUGAGAUCCCUGUCGUGGGGAGCAUCGACGCCCGGACCAGAACUUUUGGGACGGAUCCGCGGUAGAGCAUGUAUGUUGGGACCCGAAAGAUGGUGAACUAUGCCUGAAUAGGGUGAAGCCAGAGGAAACUCUGGUGGAGGCUCGUAGCGGUUCUGACGUGCAAAUCGAUCGU
rnacentral:rRNA from 1 species